GAGGAUGUAGCUCAGUGGUAGAGCACCUGCUUAGCAUGUAUAAGACCCUGGGUUCCAUCCCCAGCACCCA
rnacentral:tRNA from 1 species